GACGAACGCUGGCGGCGUGCUUAACACAUGCAAGUCGAACGGAAAGGCCCUGCUUGCAGGGUGCUCGAGUGGCGAACGGGUGAGUAACACGUGGGUGAUCUGCCCCUUACUUUGGGAUAAGCCUGGGAAACUGGGUCUAAUACUGGAUAGGACCAUGCUGUAGGUGGUGUGGUGGAAAGAUUAGUUUCGGUAAGGGGUGAGCUCGCGGCCUAUCAGCUUGUUGGUGGGGUAAUGGCCUACCAAGGCGUCGACGGGUAGCCGGCCUGAGAGGGUGGACGGCCACAUUGGGACUGAGAUACGGCCCAGACUCCUACGGGAGGCAGCAGUGGGGAAUAGUGCACAAUGGGCGCAAGCCUGAUGCAGCGACGCCGCGUGGGGGAUGACGGCCUUCGGGUUGUAAACUCCUUUCAGCCAUGACGAAGCCCUUGUGGUGACGGUAGUGGUAGAAGAAGCACCGGCUAACUACGUG
rnacentral:rRNA from 1 species